rnacentral:rRNA from 1 species
GACAGAGGUGCCGAGCGUUAGGCGGAAUCACUGGGCUUAAAGCGUGUGUAGGCGGGCGGGCAAGUACCUUGUGAAAUCCCACGGCUCAACCGUGGAACGGCUGGGUAUACUGCCUGUCUUGAGCCAACUAGGGGCGAGCGGAACAGACGGUGGAGCGGUGAAAUGCGUAGAUAUCGUUUGGAACGCCAAUGGUGAAAACAGACAGCUGGGAGUGUGCUGACGCUGAGACACGAAAGCCAGGGGAGCGAACGGG